rnacentral:lncRNA from 1 species
CGUAUCUGGGGCAGGGAUAGUGCGAGCGACAGCCGGUCGAGCGCUCCCCUAAUCUAAGCCUGCCGCUCGGUGCACUAGCGGAUCGGCAUCGUAGCAAAACCCAUGGCUUGCGCGCUGAAGAGCUCGUCGUUUCGUUUUUCUACGGGUGCAACGCUUUGUUACCGAAGCUUUAUCCUUCGUUUGUGUUCAUUUAAGUUCGU